rnacentral:snRNA from 1 species
GUGCUCACUUCAGCAGCACAUAUACUAAAAUUGAAAUGAUACAAAGAAGAUUAGCAUGCCCCCUGUGCAAGGAUGACAUGCAAAUUCGUGAAGCAUUCGAUAUUUUU